GACGAACGCUGGCGGCGUGCUUAACACAUGCAAGUGGAGCGACGAACCAGGCUUCGGCCUGGGGCAGAGCCGCGAACGGGUGAGUAACACGUGGGUAACCUGCCCCGAUGACUGGGACAACCCGAGGAAACUCGGGCUAAUACCGGAUGUGCUGCUCUCGCUCAAGUGAGAGUAGGAAAGGAAGCUUCGGCCUCCGCAUCGGGAUGGGCCCGCGGCCCAUUAGCUGUUGGUGAGGUAACGGCUCACCAAGGCUUCGAUGGGUAGCUGGUCUGAGAGGACGAUCAGCCACACUGGGACUGAGACACGGCCCAGACUCCUACGGGAGGCAGCAGUGGGGAAUCUUGCGCAAUGCGACG
rnacentral:rRNA from 1 species